GCCUGAUCUUUUGACCAGAAAGGGAUUAAAAAGUUGCCCAUCCUGAUGGCUGUGCCUGCCGGUUGCAUGGAGCCUCAUUCAGGAUUUCCUGAGCCUCUUGGAUUUACAGUGAUACUCAGCUGCGGGGAGUGGAGGAAGCAUUCUCUGGAAUCACAGACGGCACACGUCUGGAUGCUAAUGAUGGUUUUACGGAUGGCCCCGGCUGAGUGCUUGGCAGAUCCCUGCAGCCUGGAUGCCUGUGGGGUCAGAGGACCGCGGCUUCCUGGGACGGCGGAGGUCUCUGCCCUUAUCUUCAUGCAAAUGUUCAGUUGGGUUGCUGCUAGCCUCACUGAGGGCGCCCCGUGAAACAAUCCUGUCAUACCUCGGAUUUUGGUGCCUUCAGUCUGAAAAAUACACACAUCCAUUUGGUACCCUAGAGGAACUGGAGAAUUGUCUUCCCCUGAAUGAAGCUGGACCAUUCUGGGAUUUGGAGAAAGGGCACUGGCACCCUGGGAGCUGGAGAGAUGCAGCUGGAAGAGCCCGCGCCCGGGGCACGAGGGGUCCCAUGCCAUGUCACGGGCUUGUCCCCAGCUGCCACCGUGCUGAUGGCUUGGCCGCCACUGCUGCUUACUGAGCACACCCGCGUGGGCCCUCGCUGCUGUGCCUUCCGUCGAGGCUCCGGCUGUCUCAUCCCUGAGGGACCCCGGCAUCCCACCUACCCAGGCUCACCAAGACAGGGCCCAUCACCGGUCCUCCGCACUCCUGAGUGUCGCACAGAGCGGGGGUCAGGCCACCUUAGGUUGUUGGGCUAUGGUUUUUGCAGAGUCCUGAGCUCCUGUGAAGAUCUGCUUCUCUCCAGCCUUGGGCUAUCUGCAUUCUUGAACAUCUCCGGGCCCAGAAGGAAAAGAAGAAUGCUGAGCAGCUCAGGGAAUGGCUUGAAUGAAAAGAGGCUCUUCUGCCUGGAAGUCAAAUUCCUCCGUUGGAAAGACUCCAUUUGA
rnacentral:lncRNA from 1 species